AACAAACUCCCUCCGUCCCAAAAUUCUUGUCUUAAAUUUGUUUAGAUAUGAAUGUNNNNNGUCAAGUUUUAGUAUUUAGAUACAUUUAUUUCUAGACAAAACUAAGACAGUAAUUAUGAGACGGAGCGAGUAGUAA
rnacentral:pre_miRNA from 1 species